CGAAAGCCUGAUCCAGCAACGCCGCGUGAGGGAUGACGGCCUUCGGGUUGUAAACCUCUUUCAGCAGGGACGAAGCGCAAGUGACGGUACCUGCAGAAGAAGCACCGGCCAACUACGUGCCAGCAGCCGCGGUAAUACGUAGGGUGCGAGCGUUGUCCGGAAUUAUUGGGCGUAAAGGGCUCGUAGGCGGUUUGUCGCGUCAGGAGUGAAAACUCGGGGCUUAACCCCGAGCCUGCUUCUGAUACGGGCAGACUAGAGGUAUGCAGGGGAGAACGGAGUUCCUGGUGUAGCGGUGAAAUGCGCAGAUAUCAGGAGGAACACCGGUGGCGAAGGCGGUUCUCUGGGCAUUACCUGACGCUGAGGAGCGAAAGUGUGGGGAGCGAACAGGAUUAGAUACCCUGGUAGUCCACACCGUAAACGUUGGGCGCUAGGUGUGGGACUCAUUCCACGAGUUCCGUGCCGCAGCUAACGCAUUAAGCGCCCCGCCUGGGGAGUACGGCCGCAAAGCUA
rnacentral:rRNA from 1 species